ACCAGGACACCAUCACCCACAAGAAAUGUGCCUUGCUCCAUUCAUUCUUUUGUUUAACAAAGAGAAGUUUCCAUCAUCUGCAAGUGACAAUCUGCACAUGCUGCAAUCUGAGAUCUAGGACUUUGGGAGAGCACUGGGAAGGAUUUUGCAAUAGCAAAGUUCACCCCCUAUGGAGACAACAGCAACAAAAAGGGCUUGUCAGGACACAGUUAUUACAGUUUGAUUAAAAACAUCAUUUUUAUUUA